AGACCACCGAUAAGCUCCUAAUUGCGGAAUCCAGUAGAUACUCCUCAGUCCUAUUCUUACUAAACUCUUGUGAGAGAGAAACAUUGAAACCUGCCAUUUUCCCAUCCUUCUUGCCAAAGGAACUUCUUUUAUUUGCCCAGCCCCCAAAGAUGAGUUAUGAUUGAUGUAAGGCAGUUAUGGCAACGCUUUCACACUGCCAAUGAUUCAUCCAGGAGUAGGAAUGAGUCUUGAUCAAUGAGACAUAGGGGAAGUCUGAUGGGUCCCCCGGGAAAGAUUUUCCUUCUUGAAAGAGAAUGAGCCACACAAAGAGAAAGACUUAUUGUCUCCAUUACCCUUGUUUUAUGCUUGGGAUGCUCUCAGUUGCUUGAAGGGUCCAGCCUAUGACCCUGAGACGGACAUUUUGACAUAAUGAAGGUGGCAGAGCAGAAGGAUGGAAAGUGCUUGGGUCCUCCAUGACAUUUCUGGGUCACGAAACUCACCUGGGGACCACCUACCUUCUUGGGUCCAGUGGGGAGACUCCUUCCUGAUCCGGGUGAAUUAUACUUCAUGGACAGCAAUUAAUCCACAAUAACAUCCCUGUCUUGUCUCUUGGGUGGGACUUGUCAUUGACCCAAUACUCUGAACCAGACAUAUUCAACUGAAAGACUAAAAACCAAACCACAAGUAAAGCAAAACUGUAAAAGCCACAAAGAGCCUCGGCCAAGUAUGUGGAAGACUGCAUAGUGCUAGCUAGCCUGUCCAGAUAUCUGGGAAUGGAUUAAACGGCUUUCCGAGGCUCCUUUUAGGAUCAAGAUGCCAUUGGAAGCUUUAGUAAUUGACACAUUUAAAGGGAGAAAAAGCUGAGUUUACUUACUUAUUUUUAAAUAGUAUAUGUCUUUGUAUUUAGCUCCUAGCAUAGCCAAGCUCUCGGAUUUUUCUUUGCUCCAACAGAAAGUAAUCAAUGAAGUAUCAGUAGCAACAAGAUCUUGAGAUAAACUCUUGUCCCUGAACCUAGAUGCCACAGAUCUUGCCAACAGGAUCUGGAAAGCGCUUGGAGAACAUCCAUGCAGCAAGGAGCACAGAUGUUCUGCUGCCUGACCACAUGCGGAGUGUGGUGGGAACAAUCAGUUCAUGGAUCCAGAUGCCUAUCUGUCC
rnacentral:lncRNA from 1 species